rnacentral:rRNA from 1 species
AGUGAACGCUGGCGGUAGGCCUAACACAUGCAAGUCGAACGGCAGCACAGUAAGAGCUUGCUCUUACGGGUGGCGAGUGGCGGGCGGGUGAGGAAUACAUCGGAAUCUACUUUUUCGUGGGGGAUAACGUAGGGAAACUUACGCUAAUACCGCAUACGACCUACGGGUGAAAGCAGGGGAUCUUCGGACCUUGCGCGAUUGAAUGAGCCGAUGUCGGAUUAGCUAGUUGGCGGGGUAAAGGCCCACCAAGGCGCCGAUCCGUAGCUGGUCUGAGAGGAUGGUCAGCCACACUGGAACUGAGACACGGUCCAGACGCCUACGGGAGGCAGCAGUGGGGAAUAGUGGACAAUGGGCGCAAGCCUGAUCCAGCCAUACCGCGUGGGUGAAGGAGGCCUUCGGGUUGGAAAGCCGUUUUGUUGGGAAAGAAAAGCAGCAGGUUAAUACCCCGCUGUUCUGACGGUACCCAAAGAAUAAGCACCGGCUAACUUCGUG